rnacentral:misc_RNA from 1 species
UACAAAUUCAAAUACAAGCUCAAAUUUCGAGCAUCAGAUGCAACAGCCAUAGCACAAAUGUUUUGCUUUGAUAACAUAGCACGAUAUAUUGUUGGCAAAUCUUGCGAAGUUAUCUUACGAUCUACAAAUGCAGCGACACCAAUUCCUCCAGAUUUAGCUCAGAUUGUUUCACUGAAAUUCACCUUUAGAGUAAUACCAGAUGACAGUUCUUUCGAUAACCAAGACCAGGUCCCCAUUGCCCUUCGCAUCAUCUCUAUAACUGUAGCGCAUGGUAGACAACAUGCACUACCAUUGAAGCCAACCAAUAUCAUAGAAGGUACAUCAACACCACAGAACAAGUUACAACUGCAGUUAAUCGAGAACUCACCAUCAAAUCCUUUUCAAAAUUUAUCCACAAGUACUCCACCACCCAUACAGGCUGCAAGGAAGCUAAUAUAUCCACCGCUCAGUAACCCCCUCACAUAUCAACAUACUCCCAAGUCUGAUGGCGAAGAAGAAAUUACAGAGCAAACAAUGGACACCAGUCAAAUCAAAGGAAAAAAAGUAUGCCCUCAUUCGAAUCUCCUCCAAAAAGGUUCAAGAAAGGAAGCUUACAUAUCCAAAGCAAUGAUGACGAUGUCCAGGAGAACUAAACACAGAUGUUUAGAGCACCAAAUUUUCUUGCUUUUGACACGAUGUCUUCUACAAACUUUGGUGUAAUCCGAUCUAAAACGUAUUUACCUGCCAAAGUCCCUACGAACUUUCUUUUGAUGUAAACAAUAUAUCCAUGCCGAAACAAAUACUACAACUAGAAAGGCAUGUAGCUAUAGUUCUGACAUGCCAUCUUUUGCGAUCUUUAGGACCAAUAUUCUGGUGC